AGUUUGUAUACCGCUGUUGUCAGUCAGUUUCUUUAGAAAACUUUCUAUUAUGAAAAAAUCAUAGACUUCAAGUAAAGGUGCAGCUUAUGAGAAAGAUAGAGGUGGGUUACAUUUAUUAGAUUAAUACAAAUAAAGUUUAUGAAAUAUCUUUUGAAGGUGGAUUUAAUUGUAAAGUUUAAGAAAACUUGAUGUGAGCUCUAUCUUGUGUACAC
rnacentral:rRNA from 1 species